UAGUGGGAUGAGCUAAAUACAUGGGUUCAGUCAGGGUUAAGGCAGGGGCAUAGCCAGUGUUUAGUAAGGUGGAGUCUAAGUUUUUGUUUGAAGAGGACAGGAGA